AGUGAACGCUGGCGGUAGGCCUAACACAUGCAAGUCGAACGGCAGCACAAUAAGAGCUUGCUCUUACGGGUGGCGAGUGGCGGACGGGUGAGGAAUACAUCGGAAUCUACUUUUUCGUGGGGGAUAACGUAGGGAAACUUACGCUAAUACCGCAUACGGCCUACGGGUGAAAGCAGGGGAUCUUCGGACCUUGCGCGAUUGAAUGAGCCGAUGUCGGAUUAGCUAGUUGGCGGGGUAAAGGCCCACCAAGGCGACGAUCCGUAGCUGGUCUGAGAGGAUGAUCAGCCACACUGGAACUGAGACACGGUCCAGACUCCUACGGGAGGCAGCAGUGGGGAAUAUUGGACAAUGGGCGCAAGCCUGAUCCAGCCAUACCGCGUGGGUGAAGAAGGCCUUCGGGUUGUAAAGCCCUUUUGUUGGGAAAGAAAAGCAGCAGGUUAAUACCCCGCUGUUCUGACGGUACCCAAAGAAUAAGCACCGGCUAACUUCGUG
rnacentral:rRNA from 1 species